CUCUGCGGCCAUCAUGGGAUCGUGCUCUUCUCGCUCGUUGAGCUGGUCCCUUCGCCGUGGCCUGCUGGUGACGGUCUGGAGCGAUGCUGAGCCCGGGCCCAGCCUCUCAGCUCCGCCUUGUGCGCUGCACAGAUCUAGGGGAGCCUGACGGGACGUUGACAACGUGGAAUAGGAGCAGUAUCAUCCCACCAUGAGGUUGGGGAUUUAAGAGUGGAAGAUUGCCAACAGCUGUGGCCUCCCAUGAGGGUGUCCCCUUUCAAGUUCUCAGAACGGACGCAGGACUGCAGAUCUGUGCUGGCAGCAGCAGAGGCUAUAUUCCCAGAGGAGUCUCCAGCCGGCCUGAAAGCAAAUAUCCUAAGUGACAUGUCUGCCAAUUUUGUUCUGGGUGGGCACAUUUGGUAAUCCUGUCUGUACCACAGGAUCUUCUAUGCCUUUUAAAAAUAAACAUUUGUUUAUAAACCA
ensembl:processed_transcript 2410006H16Rik RIKEN cDNA 2410006H16 gene